rnacentral:rRNA from 1 species
AAAUUGAAGAGUUUGAUCAUGGCUCAGAUUGAACGCUGGCGGCAGGCCUAACACAUGCAAGUCGAGCGGUAGCACAGGAGAGCUUGCUCUCUGGGUGACGAGCGGCGGACGGGUGAGUAAUGUCUGGGAAACUGCCUGAUGGAGGGGGAUAACUACUGGAAACGGUAGCUAAUACCGCAUAACGUCGCAAGACCAAAGAGGGGGACCUUCGGGCCUCUU